GCGGGUGUAGUUCAAUGGUAGAACGGAAGCCUUCCAAGCUUCAUGUGAGGGUUCGAUUCCCUUCACCCGCUCCA
rnacentral:tRNA from 4 species